ensembl:lncRNA
UGUGGCUGUCGCCAGGCAACCGGCAUGGGCUGGGCCGGCCCCUGGGCGGGGCCUGAGACUGCAGCAUGGCUACCUCACCCUGAGGCCACCGCCCACUCAGGGGGCAUUUGCAUUCAGCGUCCCGCCUCUGCUUCACCGUGGCGACGGUGAGAGCUCUACUGAGGAGGCAAAUGUCAGGGAAGGGGGCUCAAACGGCUCGACGCAUUCCAGAACAGUCCUGGGCCCAUUGGGAGGGCUGCCUGCUGUUCAGUCCCACAGUCCACAGUCCCAGGAGAGGUGACUGAAGGCCCCAGAGGAGAGGUGACUGAAGGCCCCAGAGGAGAGGUGGCUGAAGGCCCCAGAGGAGAGGUGGCCCCAGAGGAGAGGUGGCUGAAGGCCCCAGAGGAGAGGUGGCCCCAGAGGAGAGGUGACUGAAGGCCC